GACGAACGCUGGCGGCGUGCUUAACACAUGCAAGUCGAACGGAAAGGCCCUGCUUUUUUGGGGUGCUCGAGUGGCGAACGGGUGAGUAACACGUGAGUAACCUGCCCUUUACUUUGUGAUAACUUCAGGAAACUGGUGCUAAUACCGGAUAGGAUCUCCUGCUGCAUUUUGGUGUUUGGAAAUUUUCGUCGGUUGGUGAUGGACUCGCGGCUUAUCAGCUUGUUGGUGGGGUAGUGGCUUACCAAGGCUUUGACGGGUAGCCGGCAUGAGAGGGUGACCGGCAACAUUGGGACUGAGAUACGGAACAGACUCGUACGGGAGGCAGCAGUGGGGAAUAUUGCACAAUGGGAGGAAGCAUGAGGCAGAAAAGCCGCGUGCGGGAUGACGGCCGUCGGGUUGUAAAAAGAAUUAGAAUGUGAAGAAGAGUGAGUGACGGUAAUGGGUAAAGAAGCAACGGCUAACUACGUG
rnacentral:rRNA from 1 species